GUCGAGAAUCUUUCACAAUGGGGGCAACCCUGAUGGAGCGACGCCGCGUGGAGGAUAAGGUCUUCGGAUUGUAAACUCCUGUCAUGCGUGAACAAGGUUGCUUGGUUAAUACCUGGGCAAAUUGAUGGUAGCGCAAGAGGAAGAGACGGCUAACUCUGUGCCAGCAGCCGCGGUAAUACAGAGGUCUCAAGCGUUGUUCGGAAUCACUGGGCGUAAAGGGUGCGUAGGUGGCGUGGCAAGUCAGAUGUGAAAGCCCGGGGCUCAACCUCGGAACUGCAUCCGAUACUGCCAUGCUAGAGUACUGGAGGGGUGACUAGAAUUCUCGGUGUAGCAGUGAAAUGCGUAGAUAUCGAGAGGAAUACCAAAGGCGUAGGCAGGUCACUGGACAGUUACUGACACUGAGGCACGAAGGCCAGGGGAGCGAACGGGAUUAGAUACCCCGGUAGUCC
rnacentral:rRNA from 1 species